rnacentral:rRNA from 1 species
UACGUAGGGUGCGAGCGUUGUCCGGAAUUAUUGGGCGUAAAGGGCUCGUAGGCGGUCUGUCACGUCGGGAGUGAAAACUCGGGGCUUAACCCCGAGCCUGCUUCCGAUACGGGCAGACUAGAGGUAUGCAGGGGAGAAUGGAAUUCCUGGUGUAGCGGUGAAAUGCGCAGAUAUCAGGAGGAACACCGGUGGCGAGGGCGGUUCUCUGGGCAUUACCUGACGCUGAGGAGCGAAAGUGUGGGGAGCGAACAGG